rnacentral:rRNA from 1 species
UACGUAGGGUGCGAGCGUUGUCCGGAAUUAUUGGGCGUAAAGAGCUCGUAGGCGGUUUGUCGCGUCUGCUGUGAAAACUCGGGGCUUAACCCCGGGCCUGCAGUGGGUACGGGCAGACUAGAGUGCGGUAGGGGAGACUGGAAUUCCUGGUGUAGCGGUGAAAUGCGCAGAUAUCAGGAGGAACACCGGCGGCGAAGGCGGGUCUCUGGGCCAUAACUGACGCUGAGGAGCGAAAGCGUGGGGAGCGAACAGG